UCUUGGUGUGUGUGGCUUUGGGGUGGCCUCUGCCUUGCCUUAUGUGGGAGAUGAUCCCAGCCCAUGCUUUGUACCUUAAAUCUCUUCCUGUGUUACAAAGCCCUCUUGGAAAGCUCUUUAGCAUUUUCCUGCCACCUUGCUACAGAGAGGAAGCUACAGAGACAUGCGUCCCACGUCUAUGGCAAGGCUGUAUAGAUCAGAGUUUGGGAUAUUCAUGUUUCUGGUGACAAAAGCACAUUACCUAAGCCUCUAACCUGAGCCAAAAGAAAGACUGGGCUGGGAAGGACCACCUAUGGACACAUCACCUUGGCUCCUGUAGCUAAUGAGCUGAUACGCUAUGUCUGCUUGCAGAUAGUCUGGGCUGGAAGCUCUUCUAUGUCACAGGCUGCCUCUUUGUGGCUGUACAGAACUUGGAGGACUGGGAGGAGGCCAUUUUCAACAAGAGCACUGGGAAGGUCAUCUUAAAAACAUUCAGCCUCUACAAGAAGCUGCUGACUCUUCUCAGAGCGGGCCAUGAUCAAGUGGUGGUCCUGUUGAAAGACAUCCAGGAUGUGAAUGUGGAGGAGGAAAAGGUCCGUUACUUUGGGAAGGGCUACAUGGUGGUGCUCCGGUUUGCAACAGGCUUCUCCCACCCCCUUACUCAGAGUGCAGUCAUGGGCCGACGCA
rnacentral:lncRNA from 1 species